rnacentral:rRNA from 1 species
UAGCAUGGGAUAAUGGAAUAGGACCCUGUCCUCCUAUUUUCAGUUGGUUUUGGCAGCGCGAGGACUAGGGUAAUGAUUAAUAGGGAUAGUUGGGGGCAUUAAUAUUUAAUUGUCAGAGGUGAAAUUCUUGGAUUUAUGAAAGAUUAACUUCUGCGAAAGCAUCUGCCAAGGAUGUUUUCAUUAAUCAAGAACGAAAGUUAGGGGAUCGAAGACGAUCAGAUACCGUCGUAGUCUUAACCUAAACGAUGCCGACCAGCGAUUAGGAGACGUUGAAUACAAAACACCACCAUCGGUGCGGCUGUU